rnacentral:lncRNA from 1 species
CACAGCUAGUGGAAGGGAGCAAAGUGAACUCAUUCCACUGGGCUCAUUAAACAUCUGCAGGGUCACUCUAUUGCUGGCUCACCUAGAACAACUGUCUGCUUAAAAGCUGUCACAUCCACCCACCCUUUGUGCUUUGUGUUAAAGCAAUUCGCAGAGUGACAGAAACUUUUCAGCUUUUUUUCUUUCCCUUUUUCCCAGGGAAAUUGAUGGCAAUUACAGCCUUUACUUGACAAGGUCGUUUUGACACAGCGUGGCUGAAGGCAGUUGCCUCCAGGAGGGCUCAGUUGUUUUAGAAAGAGGGUGACAGUUACCUCCUUCCAUUUCUCCUGACUGCCACUUUUGUUAAAACUUUUCCAGGACUUUGGGGGUGGUUAUUUCUUCUUGUACCAUCAUGACAACUUCCUUUUCUCACCAUGGGUGCUGUUGCAGAUAAUUAAGCUUUGCCUGCCGAAAUAAAGACAGAAGUAUAACUACUGUGCUACCAGUGCAGAUGCUAAAAGAUGGAGGAAGAGGAAGAGGAAGAGGAGGAGGAGAAGGAUCUUUCAAAUGCCAAAAGACAGUCCACAGGGGAGCAGUUCUGACUUUCUCUCAGCCUAACAGUCAAUACAAGUUCAGUUGCUUGAAGCUUCUCUUGUUUUGUCAAAGACUUUAAGGAUCAAAUAAAACUUGCAAGGGUAUCUCAACAUAAGCCAACACUGGGACCUAGAAAAUUUAGCAUCAGCUGCCAUGUGUUUAACUACUAUCUU